GUCUGAGUUCCCCCGGAGGCCGUGGCGACAGUGCGGCCUAGAGCCCGUUCCUUGGUGUAGGACGAAGGACGAAGUAACAUAUUUAGUCUCGGUCAACCGGAGUCGUGGCCCCCGUCGCCUCCGAAUGCCACCGGCAUCAGGUCCCUCCAUGGCCUAUUGGAAUAGCCCACGGUUGGGAGUCUGUCUGGCUCAUCUGCCUGCUCAUCCUUAAAGAUGGCAGAGCUGGACAUUCUCGCACUUCUUCAGUGCUGUAAUUCCCUCUUUUGCCAGCACCGAGACUGAGGGCAGGGACAAACUCUGACUCAGCACGUUCUCUGGUCCUGGAAAUGGGCCUUUCCGCGGAAGAACGCAGCCUCUUGCAGUUUCUUCCGGCACGGGUUUGCCCUCCCAGGGCCCUGCCCAUUCCCACCUGAGGGACUUCUUGAAGCUCAUCUAACCCCCAUCUCAGCACCCAGACAGGGAUUGCCAGCAAGUUCCAGUGGUGCAGCACUGCAGAGACCGCCCUGACACCAGUGGGCCGUGGCCAUACCCCUUCAAUGAGGUCUGGAUCUCAGCUGAUAGGGCUUGGAGUUGAGGAGGGGGACUCUUCCCUGUCCUAGGGUACUGGCCGCUCCUCAGAUCUGCUAUUCUUAAUAUUCUUUAGAGUUCUCUUCUUACUAGCCCAUACCUCAUUGCUCCAAUUCCCUGUUGUAGUUAAUAAUGCUUAAUGUAAACUUUUCCUUUUCAAAUUACAGUGAGUUUCUCUUUCCUGAUUGGACCCUUACCAAUACACCAUCAUUUGCCACCAACUCCCAAAUUUAAUCAAUGACUCAGACCUCUUUCUUGAACUCCAGCUGCCUCCCUGACAUAUCCAUUUGUUUUGUUUUGUUUUGUUCAAGAUAGAAACUCCCAAUUAUUAAUGCCAAAAAAGAAAAUUUUAUACAUCAUUUAAAGAUACACAAUAAAUCAGUUAUGUCCUGGUAAUGGAACCAAAUAGCUUGGGGACAAAAGUAUGGGGACCCUUCAUGCAUGCAUUUACAAAUCUUUUGAAUUUUGAAUUAUGUGAAUAUAUUAUCUACUUUAAAUUAGAAUAAAAACAAAAAUUUUAAAAACUUUACAAAAUCUUUUCUGCCAAUUAUUUUAUUCUUCCCCUGUCCAAAAGUGUAUGUGUGAUGUGAUGUGUGUGGGACCUUUAAAACUGAGCUAACGGGGGCACCUGGGUGGCUCACUCGUUAAGCGUCUGCCUUCGGCUCAGGUCAUGAUCCCAGGGUCCUGGGAUAGAGCCCCGCAUCGGGCUCUCUGCUCAGCGGGGAGCCUGCUUCUCCCUCUCCCACUCCCCCUGCCUGUGUUCCCUCUCUCACUGUGUCUCUCUCUGUCAAAUAAAUAAAUAAAAUCUUAAAAAAAAAAAAAAAAAAAAAAAA